AAUACCUAAUGCACAGUUACAACAGAAUUUCAGAUAAACAAUCAAUUAUUUAGUAUAAGUAUGCCCCAUGCAAUAUUUGGGAUAUACUUAAGCUAAAAAAAAAUUUUUUUUCACUCUUUAUCUGCAAGUUUAACUGGAUGUCCUUUAUUUU
rnacentral:miRNA from 1 species